rnacentral:ncRNA from 1 species
CCAGAUCCCACAAAGGGUGUUGGUUGAUUAAGACAGCAGGACGGUGGUCAUGGAAGUCGAAAUCCGCUAAGGAGUGUGUAACAACUCACCUGCCGAAUCAACUAGCCUUGAAAAUGGAUGGCGCUGAAGCACGCGACCUAUACUCAACCGUCGGAGCAAUUGCCAGGAUUCGAUGAGUAGGAGGAUGCGGGGGUCGUUGAGAAACCUUGGGCGUGAGCCUGGGUGGACCAGUCCCCGGUGCAAAUCUUGGUGGUAGUAGCAAAUAUUCAAAUGAGAACUUUGAAGACUGAAGUGGGGAAAGGUUCCAUGUGAACAGCACUUGGACAUGGGUUAGUCGAUCCUAAGAGAUGGGGAAGCCCUGUAUCAAGGGUGCACUAUGCACAAACAUCGAAAGGGAAUCGGGUUAAUAUUCCCAAACCGGGACAUGGCGGUGAACGACAACGUUAGGAAAUCCGGAGACGUCGUCGGGGGCCCCGGGAAGAGUUAUCUUUUCUUUUUAACAGCUUGCCCACCCUGAAAUCGGCUCAACCGGAGAUAGGGUCCAGCAGCUAGAAGAGCAUCGCACAUCUUGCGGUUUCCGGUGCACCCUUGGCGGCCCUUGAAAAUCUGGAGGACCGAGUACCGUCCAUGCCCGGUCGUACUCAUAACCGCAUCAGGUCUCCAAGGUGAACAACCUCUGGUCAAUCGAACAAUGUAGGUAAGGGAAGUCGGCAAAACGGAUCCGUAACUUCGGGAAAAGGAUUGGCUCUGAGGACUGGGCCUAGGGGUCUGCGUCCUCAACCUGUGGGUUGUCGGCAGUCUGCCCGAGCUGCUAUUGCGGUGAGGGCGGGCAGUCGCGUGCCGAUUGGGCUACGGACGUAGAAUGUCCUCUCGCGGGGGAUUUUCCCUAGGUGGCGAACAGUCGACUUAGAACUGGUACGGACAAGGGGAAUCCGACUGUUUAAUUAAAACAAAGAAUUGCGAUGGUCCUUGCGGAUGCUGACGCAAUGUGAUUUCUGCCCAGUGCUCUGAAUGUCAAAGUGAAGAAAUUCAACCAAGCGCAGGUAAACGGCGGGAGUAACUAUGACUCUCUUAAGGUAGCCAAAUGCCUCGUCAUCUAAUUAGUGA